AGAGUUUGAUCCUGGCUCAGAUUGAACGCUGGCGGCAUGCUUAACACAUGCAAGUCGAACGGCAGCGCGGGGAGCUUGCUCCCUGGCGGCGAGUGGCGGACGGGUGAGUAACGCGUGGGAAUCUGCCCGGUGGUGGGGGACAACCCGAGGAAACUCGGGCUAAUACCGCAUACGUCCUACGGGAGAAACGGGGGCCUCUGCUCGCAUGCUCUCGCCAUCGGAUGAGCCCGCGUCCGAUUAGCUUGUUGGUAGGGUAAUGGCCUACCAAGGCGACGAUCGGUAGCUGGUCUGAGAGGACGAUCAGCCACACUGGGACUGAGAAACGGCCAGACUCCUGCGGGAGGCAGCAGUGGGGAAUAUUGGACAUGGGCGCAAAGCCUGAUCCAGCAAUGCCGCGUGUGUGAAGAAGGCCCUCGUUGGUUGUAAAGCACUUUCAGUGGGGAAGAAAAGCCGGGUGCCAAUACCAUCCUGGCCCUGAACGUUACCCACAGAAGAAGCACCGGCUAACUCUGUGCCAGCAGCCGCGGUAAUACAGAGGGUGCGAGCGUUAAUCGGAAUUACUGGGCGUAAAGGGCGCGUAGGCGGUCUGGUAAAGUUGGGUGUAGAAAGCCUCGGGCUUAACCUGGGAAUUGCAUUCAAUACUGCCGGACUGGAGUAUGGCACGAGGGAAGUGGGAAUUCCGGGUGUAUGCGGUGAAAUGCGUAGAUAUCCGGAGGAACACCAGUGGCGAAGGCUGCUUCCUGGGCCAAAUACUGACGCUUGAGGGCGCGAAAAAGCGUGGGGAGCAACAGGAUUAGAUACCCUGGUAGUCCACGCCCUAAACGAUGAGAACUAGCCGUUGGGGACGUUCAAGUUCUUGGUGGCGCAGCUAACGCGAUAAGUUCUCCGCCUGGGGAGUACGCCGCAAGGCUAAACUCAAAGAAUUGACGGGAGCCCCGCACAAGCGGUGGAGCAUGUGGUUUAAUUCGAUGCAACGCGAAGAACCUUACCUGCCUUGACAUCCUCGGAAUCCUCUCGGAGACGGAGGGGUGCCUUCGGCCCGUGUGACAAGGUGCUGCAUGGCGUCGUCAGCUCGUGUCGUGAGAUGNUGGGUUAAGUCCCGUAACGAGCGCAACCCCUGUCCAUUUGGUUGCCAGCGAUUUGGUCGGGGACUCCAAGGAGACUGCCGGUGACAAACCGGAGGAAGGUGGGGAUGACGUCAAGUCCUCAGUGGCCCUUAUGGGCAGGGCUACACACGUGCUACAAUGGCCGGUACAGAGGGUCGCCAACCCGAGAGGGGGAGCAAAUCCCACAAAGCCGGUCGUAGUCCGGAUCGGAGUCUGCAACUCGACUCCGUGAAGUCGGAAUCGCUAGUAAUCGCAGAUCAGAACGCUGCGGUGAAUACGUUCCCGGGCNUUGUACACACCGCCCGUCACACCAUGGGAGUUGGCUGCACCAGAAGUGGCUUGCUCAACCUUCGGGAGAAGCUGGUCACCACGGUGUGGUUGAUGAGCUGGGGUGAAGUCGUAACAAGGUAGCCC
rnacentral:rRNA from 1 species